rnacentral:rRNA from 1 species
UGGGGAAUUUUGGACAAUGGGCGCAAGCCUGAUCCAGCCAUGCCGCGUGCGGGAAGAAGGCCUUCGGGUUGUAAACCGCUUUUGUCAGGGAAGAAAUCUUCUGAGUUAAUACCUCGGGAGGAUGACGGUACCUGAAGAAUAAGCACCGGCUAACUACGUGCCAGCAGCCGCGGUAAUACGUAGGGUGCAAGCGUUAAUCGGAAUUACUGGGCGUAAAGCGUGCGCAGACGGUUUUGUAAGACAGAGGUGAAAUCCCCGGGCUCAACCUGGGAACUGCCUUUGUGACUGCAAGGCUUGAGUGCGGCAGAGGGGGGAUGGAAUUCCGCGUGUAGCAGUGAAAUGCGUAGAUAUGCGGAGGAACACCGAUGGCGAAGGCAAUCCCCUGGGCCUGCACUGACGCUCAUGCACGAAAAGCGUGGGGAGCAAACAGGAUUAGAUACCCUGGUAGUCCACGCCCUAAACGAUGUCAACUGGUUGUUGGGAAGGUUCCUUCUCAGUAACGUAGCUAACGCGUGAAGUUGACCGCCUGGGGAGUACGGCCGCAAGGUUGAAACUUAAAUGAAUUGACGGGGUCAUAGCUGUUUCCUAG